AUUGAACGCUGGCGGCAUGCCUAACACAUGCAAGUCGAACGGCAGCAUAAUAAAGAUUUCGGUCUUUAUGGGUGGCGAGUGGCGGACGGGUGAGUAACGCGUAGGAAUCUGUCCUGGAGAGUGGGAUAACCCGAGGAAACUCGGGCUAAUACUGCAUGACAUUGAGAGAUCAAAAGCAGGGGACCGAAGGGCCUUGCGCUCUGGGGUGAGCCUACGUCGGAUUAGCUAGUUGGUGGGGUAAAGGCCUACCAAGGCGACGAUCCGUAGCUGGUCUGAGAGGAUGACCAGCCACACUGGGACUGAGACACGGCCCAGACUCCUACGGGAGGCAGCGGUGGGGAAUCUUGGACAAUGGGGGAAACCCUGAUCCAGCGAUGCCGCGUGUGUGAAGAAGGCCUUCGGGUUGUAAAGCACUUUAGGUGGGGAAGAAAGGUGGCGAGUGAAUAACUUUCUGCUGUGACGGUACCCACAGAAUAAGCACCGGCUAACUCUGUGCCAGCCGCCGCAGUAA
rnacentral:rRNA from 1 species